rnacentral:rRNA from 1 species
AUUGAACGCUGGCGGCAGGCCUAACACAUGCAAGUCGAACGAGUGGCGGACGGGUGAGUAAUGUCUGGGAAACUGCCUGAUGGAGGGGGAUAACUACUGGAAACGGUAGCUAAUACCGCAUACCAUCGGAUGUGCCCAGAUGGGAUUAGCUAGUAGGUGGGGUAAUGGCUCACCUAGGCGACGAUCCCUAGCUGGUCUGAGAGGAUGACCAGCCAACCUGGAACUGAGACACGGUCCAGACUCCGACGGGAGGAAGCAGUGGGGAAGAUUGCAAAAGGGGCGAAAGCCGGAUGCAGCCAUGCCGCGUGUAGGAAGAAGGCCUUCGGGUUGUAAAGUACUUUCAGCGGGGAGGCGUGACUCGCAGAAGAAGCACCGGCUAACUCCGUGCCAGCAGCCGCGGUAAUUC